rnacentral:rRNA from 1 species
UACCAGCACCCCGAGUGGUCGGGACGAUUAUUGGGCCUAAAGCAUCCGUAGCCGGUCCUGCAAGUCCUCCGUUAAAUCCACCCGCUCAACGGUUGGGCCGCGGGGGAUACUACAGGGCUAGGAGGCGGGAGAGGCAAGCGGUACUCGAUGGGUAGGGGUAAAAUCCACUGAUCCAUUGAAGACCACCAGUGGCGAAGGCGGCCUGCCAGAACGCGCUCGACGGUGAGGGAUGAAAGCUGGGGGAGCAAACCGGAUUAGAUACCCGGGUAGUCCCAGCUGUAAACGAUGCAGACUCGGUGAUGGGCUGGCUUCGUGCCAACCCGGUGCCGCAGGGAAGCCGUUAAGUCUGCCGCCUGGGGAGUACGGUCGCAAGACUGAAACUUAA